UGGAUUAGGCAUGCAAGUCGAGCGAGAACCCAGCAAUGGGGGACAGCGGCGUAAGGGACAGUAAUGUGUAGAUUAUCUGCCCUCGGGACCGGGAUAGCUGCGGGAAACUGCAGGUAAUACCGGAUAACAUCUCCGGAUCAAAGGUGUGAUUCCGCCCGAGGAUGAGUCUGCAUCCUAUUAGCUAGUUGGCAGGGUAAUGGCCUACCAAGGCUUUGAUGGGUAGCGGGUGUGAGAGCACGACCCGCGUCAUUGGGACUGAGACACUGCCCAGACACCUACGGGUGGCUGCAGUCGAGAAUCUUUCGCAAUGGGGGCAACCCUGACGGAGCGACGCCGCGUGUAGGAUGAAGGUCUUCGGAUUGUAAACUACUGUCAGCAGGGAAGAAUAGGCGCUUGGUUAAUAACCAGGCGUCAUGACGGUACCUGCAGAGGAAGCUACGGCUAACUUCGUGCCAGCAGCCGCGGUA
rnacentral:rRNA from 1 species